rnacentral:rRNA from 1 species
UACGGGGGGAGCAAGCGUUGUUCGGAUUUACUGGGCGUAAAGGGCGCGUAGGCGGCCACCGCAAGUCGACUGUGAAAUCUCUGGGCUUAACCCAGAACGGUCAGCCGAUACUGCGGGGCUAGAGUGCAGAAGGGGCAACUGGAAUUCUCGGUGUAGCGGUGAAAUGCGCAGAUAUCGGGAGGAACACCGGUGGCGAAGGCGGUUCUCUGGGCCUUACCUGACGCUGAGGAGCGAAAGCGUGGGGAGCGAACAGG